rnacentral:lncRNA from 1 species
UUAACAUCAUUGUCACUAAAAAAUAAUAGGGGGUAUUACAUUUAAACACAGUCCUUACAAGCAUUAUUGAAUGAAAAAUACUUUGUAAUGAGCUUAAUAAUAUCAAAAUUCAACUCGAUCAUGCAACUUCAUAUAAAAUAAGAACAUUGGGCUAUUAGACUUGGCUCUUAUCUUAGUGUGACAUGUAACUUGUUCUGCACUGCUUCUCUAACAUUCCACUGCAAGAAAAUAGUG